rnacentral:rRNA from 1 species
GCCUAGGAAUCUGCCUGGUAGUGGGGGAUAACGCUCGGAAACGGACGCUAAUACCGCAUACGUCCUACGGGAGAAAGCAGGGGACCUUCGGGCCUUGCGCUAUCAGAUGAGCCUAGGUCGGAUUAGCUAGUUGGUGAGGUAAUGGCUCACCAAGGCGACGAUCCGUAACUGGUCUGAGAGGAUGAUCAGUCACACUGGAACUGAGACACGGUCCAGACUCCUACGGGAGGCAGCAGUGGGGAAUAUUGGACAAUGGGCGAAAGCCUGAUCCAGCCAUGCCGCGUGUGUGAAGAAGGUCUUCGGAUUGUAAAGCACUUUAAGUUGGGAGGAAGGGCAGUAAAUUAAUACUUUGCUGUUUUGACGUUACCGACAGAAUAAGCACCGGCUAACUCUGUGCCAGCAGCCGCGGUAAUACAGAGGGUGCAAGCGUUAAUCGGAAUUACUGGGCGUAAAGCGCGCGUAGGUGGUUCGUUAAGUUGGAUGUGAAAUCCCCGGGCUCAACCUGGGAACUGCAUUCAAAACUGUCGAGCUAGAGUAUGGUAGAGGGUGGUGGAAUUUCCUGUGUAGCGGUGAAAUGCGUAGAUAUAGGAAGGAACACCAGUGGCGAAGGCGACCACCUGGACUAAUACUGACACUGAGGUGCGAAAGCGUGGGGAGCAACAGGAUUAGAUACCCUGG